rnacentral:lncRNA from 1 species
AAAGGACCAGUUUGGGGGCGUUUGGAAGUACCUUCUAAUUUUCCAAGUGUUUGAGCCACAUUUGUUCAUAUCCUACAGCUGAAUCUCUACUGUCUACAGGUGAAAUAAUGUUUGCUAUCCCUGAAGAGUCAAUCCCCCUGUAGUGCCAAGACACUGGAUUAGGGAUUCACUGACUGAUUGGAUAGUCAGCUCCUAUCUCUGGACUUCUA